rnacentral:rRNA from 1 species
UACGGAGGGUGCAAGCGUUGUCCGGAAUCACUGGGCGUAAAGGGCGCGUAGGCGGUUCCUUAAGCGGGUGGUGAAAGCUCAGGGCUCAACUCUGAGUCGGCCAUGCGAACUGGGGGACUCGAGCACUGUAGAGGCAGGUGGAAUUCCGGGUGUAGCGGUGGAAUGCGUAGAGAUCCGGAAGAACACCGGUGGCGAAGGCUGCCUGCUGGGCAGUAGCUGACGCUGAGGCGCGACAGCGUGGGGAGCAAACAGG